rnacentral:tRNA from 1 species
GGCCCGCUGGUACGGCUCGCACCGGGCGUGCUUCGACUUCGCGGAGGCCGCCGCGUUCGACUCCCUGCCGGGCUC